rnacentral:lncRNA from 1 species
CUUCCCAGUUCAUAUCUACAGCAAUAAACUGGUCAAUAGCCGCCACCAUGGUGAGAAUAAGAUUUACUAGAAAACAAGCCCAUAUCUUACCCCCAAAUUCUGUGUUAGUAACUACUUGUGGAAGACCCAACUUCCUACCAAACUUAGGAGCCUGAUUCGAAGACACUAUCGGCUCCAAUAUAGCAACAAAUGAAACCUUAAAAUUUUUUGUUAAGUGUUUAAGCUGUCGAGUGGUGGCAGAAUUUCCCACCCCCCUUGCAUUCUAUACAAGGAAUGCACUCAUAUCAAAGAUGCUUGUGAGGAUCCCCAACUAAAAGGUCAGAGAUCAGUACUAUUUUUCUGUUACGUCUGUUAUUGGCUGCAAUGUCUGGUCUAUCCGUAUCAGAAUGACAACCUCCAUCCCUACCAACGUUGAAAGAGUAAUCCGGAGGGUCUUUUCCAACUUCCAAGUGUAAUUGAUCAAUUAACACGUCGAAUGAAUUUCCAAUAGGAAUGUCUUCCGCUAAACGAUUGGGGAGCGUUGAUUGGGGGAAGAAAGGGAUCUACUACAAUCUGGUGAAAUUUUCUCAAUCCCAGUAGUGCUUCCAGAGCUCAAAAGUCCAGUUUCUUUUAACCUCUUAUUUGUCUCGACCUCAUCCUUGGCAUCAUUGUCUGUUGUAACCUCAUUUUCCUCAUUAGGCAGAAUGUUGGGAGCUUUCUACGAAGACUCUUUAGGUUUGUGUUUCCCUUCUAGUUUCUCAUUGUGCAAGACAUCUUCCUUACUUGGUAACGGCUUAACAACCUCUGUAGCAUCGUCCCCUUUACUCAGGGGAUGAAUUUCCACUGAGUUGUCCUACUCAUUUUUCGAUGACUGUUCAACCUUGUUUUCACCUUUCUUAUCAAUCUGUAAUGGCAUAUGUUUUUGUGUUGGCUUUCUAACUGCACUGUUAAGUCCUUGCCUUCUAUUGCAGCUUGAAAUAUCAUGUCCAUGAAGACGACAGUGAUUGCAAUACUUGGGGGAUCUUUCGUAAUGUACUUCUUGCCAAAAACCCGAUGAAUUAUCCUUUCUAGUACCAAUCUAGAUCAGGUCUUCACGUGGCUGUGACAAGUCUAUUUCAAAGCAAACUCUUGCCAAACUAGGCCGUGUGAAUGUAAUUGUUGGCAGGUCUGAACUGAGAUGACGACGCAGAGGCUUGACCACCUGUUUAGGCACUUCUCUUCGUCUACCCUUGACCUUUUCCCUUUGGGUUCUCAGACCCGUAGGAUAAUCGAUCAAAUAUCCUACGCAUCAUUAUCCUACGCAAAUGCUUGUAAAUACGAAGGAAUGCAGAAAUUUAGGGGAAGUAAAGGGAGAUGAAUCCAAACUGGAGCAAUAGGGGAUUCCUCAGUCGGUUUAAAAUCACGAGACCAUUUAAACAAUCGAAAUAAGGAGCCAUCAAUCUCANGGAAG